GUGCCAGCCGCCGCGGUAAUACAGAGGUCCCGAGCGUUGUUCGGAUUCACUGGGCGUAAAGGGUGCGUAGGCGGUUUGGCAAGUCUGAUGUGAAAGCCCCGGGCUUAACCCGGGAAUGGCAUCGGAAACUGCUGAGCUGGAGGCUUGGAGGGGGGACUGGAAUGCUCGGUGUAGCAGUGAAAUGCGUAGAGAUCGAGCGGAACACCGGUGGCGAAGGCGAGUCCCUGGACAAGACCUGACGCUGAGGCACGAAAGCUAGGGGAGCAAACAGGAUUAGAAACCCGCGUAGUCC
rnacentral:rRNA from 1 species